rnacentral:rRNA from 1 species
AACGAACGCUGGCGGCAGGCUUAACACAUGCAAGUCGAACGCAUCCUUCGGGGUGAGUGGCAGACGGGUGAGUAACGCGUGGGAACGUGCCCUUCAGUUCGGGAUAACCCAGGGAAACUUGGGCUAAUACCGGAUAAGUGCGAGAGCAGAAAGAUUUAUCGCUGAAGGAUCGGCCCGCGUCUGAUUAGCUAGUUGGUGGGGUAAUGGCCCACCAAGGCGACGAUCAGUAGCUGGUCUGAGAGGAUGAUCAGCCACAUUGGGACGGAGACACGGCCCAAACUCCUACGGGAGGCAGCAGUGGGGAAUAUUGGACAAUGGGCGCAAGCCUGAUCCAGCCAUGCCGCGUGAGUGAUGAAGGCCUUAGGGUUGUAAAGCUCUUUCGUCCGGGACGAUAAUGACGGUACCGGAAGAAGAAGCCCCGGCUAACUUCGUGCCAGCAGCCGCCGUAA